AUAAAAUGGAACUAAUUACCCACUGCUUGCAAUAUGUUUCCCAUAUAUUUACUAUAAUAUAGUGUUGGAUUUUUGUCUUUUUCUAGCAGAUUAAGAUAUGUGGGGAUACCAUGCAGAAUGCAUUACUGGAAUAGACCUAUGCCAAAUUUGAAGUUGAGAGGCUGUCUCAGGUGCAGCAUUCAGUGCCCUGCGUGCACACCCUCCAUGUUGGCUUUUGCAGUGGAUGGGAUCCGUAAACUAUACGGCUUUAAGAGCCAACCAGGGAUUCUGAGGUGUCUUCCUUGGUUGACUACAUCCAUGAGACGACAAAACACGACCAACCAAUCAAAAUGACUUACAGAACGCCAUUGAGGACUCUAUUUGAGCAUUAAGCAGCAAAGAUUUCAGCUGUAUCGUCAGGCUGGCAGUACUGAGGCAUUUACGGAGACGGGACAUGAGGGUCUACUCUGCGUGCUCAAGAGAAGAUUGCACAAAGUUCAAGCUCAGCAGGCUGCAGUGGGUCCGACAUAUUCUGGAACGCCAACAAUGUCUUUGGAUGACUCCUCCUCUGAAGAGGAAAACAUGGAGAGUUACUUCUUCGCUGCUCAAGAACUGCGAGUGCUGUGAUUAGUUCUUCUCAAGUGAAGCUGUACCACUGUGCUCCAGCUCCACACUCCUCC